AGAGUUGUUUGAGACUCCAGGCUGCACUCUGCCCAGUCUGAAUGCUCCUUCUAAAUGGUGAGGGCUGGAGGCUAGCUGGGGCUACUGUGACUAGAGCAAGGGAUGUGCUGUGUUUCUUCACGUAAGCAAGCAACUCUGUGUUUCUCAGGAAGCACAAUGAAAGCUCCUGGUUAUGCUGAAAACAAGGAACCAGUCUGGAUCUGCUAAGCCCAGUCUGGUCUUGCAGCCUGCAGGAAGGAAAAUAAGGGUUAAAGGCACAACAGGGAUUUACAAACAGCCAGCUAAACUCACAGAAACCUGAGAACUCCAGUAUUUCUCAUCUCACAUUCUGCAUCAGAAGAUGUCUUCUGAAAUGUCUGCUAAAAGUUUGUCUCUAAUAUUAGUAGCAAUGACAGUUGAAUAAGAAAAUGAAGAGGGCAGCUGCUUGAUGUUUGGGCCAAAGGACAAGAAGUAGUGGAAUGUGCUGCUUAUUUGUCUCCAUCUUGUCUUCCAUAGCUGAACAUAAAAAGAAGGCACGUGCUUAUUAUUGCUGGUGCCAAUUUGGGGUUCAAACUAAAAUACCUGUAAGACUAAGUAAAAACAUUUUUACUGUAAGGAUGAUCAAACACUCUAACAAGUUGCCCUGAGAGGCUCUGAAUUCUCCAUCUCAGGAAAUACUCUAAUCCCACCUGGACAUUGUCCUGGGCAGCCAGCUCUAGCCAAUCCUGCUUUCAGCCAGGGCGGCUGGACUAGAAGGAGUUCCUUUCCAACCUCAACCCUUCUGUGACUCCUUGAAGUAUCUUUGCUCGUAAAAUAUUAAGAAGUGCUGCAUGCUGUUGGUUUGA